rnacentral:ribozyme from 12 species
AAAGCAAUAAAUAAUAAAGAUAUUUGGGUUUAAGCAGUGUAGUAGAUGGAAGAAUAAAAAUGUAUGUUAACAUUUCCAUCAAUAAUCCAUUACAGGUAUAUUUCCCUCAUUUUUUUAGCUUUCUUUUUCUUUUUCACUGCACCACCUUUUUUAAGACAAGAG